UGGAAACUUACUAAGUGAUCACUUUCAAAUUCAGAGAAACCCUGGAAUUAACAAAAAUGGGCAAUCCUGAGCCAAAUCCUGUUUUCCGAAAACAAACAAAGGUUCAGAAAAAAAAGGAUAGGUGCAGAGACUCAAUGGAAGCUAUUCUAACAAAUGGAGUUAAAUGCGUUGGUAGAGGAAUCUUUACAUCGAAACUUCAGAAAGAAAAAGAAUGAAGUGAAGGAUAAACGUAUAUACAUACGUAUUGAAUACUAUAUCAAAUGAUUAAUGAUGACCCGAAUCCGUAUUUUUUCUAUAAAAAAUAGAAGAGUUGGUGUGAAUCGAUUCUACAUUGAAGAAAGAAUUGAAUAUUCAUUGAUCAAAUCAUUCACUCCAUAGUCUGAUAGAUCUUUUGAAGAACUGAUUAAUCGGACGAGAAUAAAGAUAGAGUCCCGUUCUACAUGUCAAUACCGGCAACAAUGAAAUUUAUAGUAAGAGGAAAAUCCGUCGACUUUAAAAAUCGUGAGGGUUCAAGUCCCUCUAUCCCCAAAAAGACUAUUUCACUCCCCAACUAUUUAUCCGACCCCC
rnacentral:precursor_RNA from 1 species